rnacentral:misc_RNA from 1 species
UCGAACCCUGCAAGGCAGAACGACCCGUGAACAUGUAACCACAACGGGGUGACCGUGAUAAGGGCCUCGGUCCUUAUCCCCUAACCCUUCCCGACGUGAGUUCGUGGUGUCUUUUUUGGGGCAUCAUGGAUUCCGUUGGACCAUAACAAAACCCCGGCACGGUAUGUGCCAAGGAAAACAAAAAUGAGAAGGACACUACCUGUUUCGCCCCGUUUGCGGUGUGCGUACAGGUCGUGGCCUCCUUGGAAUCACAAACGACUCUCGGCAACGGAUAUCUCGGCUCACGCAUCGAUGAAGAACGUAGCAAAAUGCGAUACUUGGUGUGAAUUGCAGAAUCCCGUGAACCAUCGAGUUUUUGAACGCAAGUUGCGCCCGAAGCCAUCCGGCUGAGGGCACGCCUGCCUGGGCGUCACGCAUCGCGUCGCUCCCCACCAUACCUCCCCAACGGGUUGGCAUGGUGUUGGGGGCGGAUAAUGGCCUCCCGUGCUUGUGUUUCGGUUGGCCUAAAUAAGAGUUCCCUUCGGCGGACACACGACUAGUGGUGGUUGAAUAGACCCUCGUCUUUUGUUGCGUGUCGUGAGCUGUAAGGGUAGCCCUCAUCAAAGACCCCAUUGUAUYGUCUUCGGAUGAUGCUUCGAC